rnacentral:rRNA from 1 species
CACGGAUCUUCCUAGUGAUUUCUGUUUGAUCCCGGCGGAGGCUACUGCUAUUGGGAUUCGAUUAAGCCAUGCAAGUUGAAUGAAUUUAGAUUCAUGGCGUACGGCUCAGUAACACGUGGAUAACUUACCCUUAGGACUGGGAUAACUCUGGGAAACUGGGGAUAAUACUGGAUAUUAGGCUAUGCCUGGAAUGGUUUGCCUUUGAAAUGUUUUUUCGCCUAAGGAUAGAUCUGCGGCUGAUUAGGUCGUUGGUGGGGUAAUGGCCCACCAAGCCGAUGAUCGGUACGGGUUGUGAGAGCAAGAGCCCGGAGAUGGAACCUGAGACAAGGUUCCAGACCCUACGGGGUGCAGCAGGCGCGAAACCUCCGCAAUGUACGAAAGUGCGACGGGGGGAUGCCAAGUGUCAUGCUUUUUUGUAUGACUUUUCAUUAGUGUAAAAAGCUUUUAGAAUAAGAGCUGGGCAAGACCGGUGCCAGCCGCCGCGGUAACACCGGCAGCUCGAGUGGUAGCUGUUUUUAUUGGGCCUAAAGCGUUCGUAGCCGGUUUGAUAAGUCUUUGGUGAAAGCUUGUAGCUUAACUAUAAGAAUUGCUGGAGAUACUAUCAGAACUGAAGUCGGGAGAGGUUAGAGGUACUACGGGGGUAGGGGUGAAAUCCUAAUAUCCUGGGAGGGCACACUGUGGCGAAUGCGUCUACUGGAACGAUCUUGACGUUGAGUACGAAAGCCAAGGGCGCGGACCGGAUAGAUACCCGNUAAUCCUGGCCGUAACGAUGUGAA